GAUGAACGCUGGCGGCGUGCCUAAUACAUGCAAGUCGAGCGAACAGACGAGGAGCUUGCUCCUCUGACGUUAGCGGCGGACGGGUGAGUAACACGUGUAUAACCUACCUAUAAGACUGGGAUACCUUCGGGAAACCGGAGCUAAUACCGGAUAAUAUAUUGAACCGCAUGGUUCACUAGUUAAAGACGGUUUUGCUGUCACUUAUAGAUUGAUCCGCGUCGCAUUAGCUAGUUGGUAAGGUAACGGCUUACCAAGGCGACGAUGCGUAGCCGACCUGAGAGGGUGAUCGGCUACACUGGAACUGAGACACGUCCCAGACUCCGACGGUAGGCAGCAGUAGGGAAUCUUCCGCAAUGGGCGAAAGCGUGACGGAGCAACGCCGCGUGAGUGAUGAAGGUCUUCGGAUCGUAAAACUCUGUUAUUAGGGAAGAACAAAUGUGUAAGUAACUAUGAACGUCUUGACGGUACCUAAUCAGAAAGCCACGGCUAACUACGUG
rnacentral:rRNA from 1 species